rnacentral:rRNA from 1 species
UACGUAGGGUGCGAGCGUUAAUCGGAAUUACUGGGCGUAAAGCGUGCGCAGGCGGUUCGUUAUGUCCGUUGUGAAAGCCCCGGGCUCAACCUGGGAAUGGCAAUGGAAACUGGCGGGCUAGAGUGUGGCAGAGGGGGGUGGAAUUCCGCGUGUAGCAGUGAAAUGCGUAGAGAUGCGGAGGAACACCGAUGGCGAAGGCAGCCCCCUGGGCUAGCACUGACGCUGAGGUGCGAAAGCGUGGGGAGCAAACAGG